GGUUUCUUGGCGCAGUUGGUCAGCGCGUCUCCUUAACAAGCCUUGUUCAAUAGAGCUGGACAGCUGGUUAAUCGGAGGAGGUCCUCAGUUCGAGCCUGGGAGAGAUCA
rnacentral:tRNA from 1 species